GAUGAACGCUGGCGGCGCGCCUAACACAUGCAAGUCGAACGAAGCGCUUCGAUUUCUCCGGAAUGAAAAAGUGACUGAGUGGCGGACGGGUGAGUAACGCGUGGGUAACCUGCCUCAUACAGGGGGAUAACAGUUAGAAAUGACUGCUAAUACCGCAUAAGCGCACAGUAUCGCAUGAUACAGUGUGAAAAACUCCGGUGGUAUGAGAUGGACCCGCGUCUGAUUAGCUAGUUGGUGAGGUAAUGGCUCACCAAGGCGACGAUCAGUAGCCGGCCUGAGAGGGUGAUCGGCCACAUUGGGACUGAGACACGGCCCAAACUCCUACGGGAGGCAGCAGUGGGGAAUAUUGCACAAUGGGGGAAACCCUGAUGCAGCAACGCCGCGUGAAGGAUGACGUAUUUCGGUAUGUAAACUUCUAUCAGCAAGGAAGAUGAUGACGGUACUUGACUAAGAAGCCCCGGCUAACUACGUGCCAGCAGCCGCCGUAAAAC
rnacentral:rRNA from 1 species